rnacentral:rRNA from 1 species
AAAAGUGGAUUAGCGGCGGACGGGUGAGUAACACGUGAGUAACCUGCCUUAGACAUUGGGAUAGCCUCGGGAAACCGGGAUUAAUACCAAAUAAGAUCAUAAUGACACAUGUCAUAACGAUCAAAACUCCGGUGGCCUAAGAUGGACUCGCGUCCCAUUAGCUAGUUGGUAGAGUAAAAGCCUACCAAGGCGACGAUGGGUAGCCGGCCUGAGAGGGUGAACGGCCACAUUGGAACUGAGAAACGGUCCAA